GAAAGGGUAGAAACGAUCGAUCGAUCGACAAAUGGCAUUUAUUACGUUUCAAAAUGUUCCAAUAUCGGGCAGGUAUUAUUUCAGU